rnacentral:misc_RNA from 1 species
AACCAUAGAAACCUGCGGAGUACCUGCGGAGGGAUCAUUACCGAGUCGUGGCUCGUCGCGAGCCUACACUCCCACCCGUGUCUACCGUUACCGCGUUGCUUUGGCGGGCCCACUGGAACUCUCGCGGUUCCGGUCGCCGGAGGGCUGCUGCCCUCGGGCCCGCGCCCGCCGAAGCGCCCCUGAACCCUGUGUGAAUAGUGAGUCUGAGUGUCCCUAGAAUCGUUAAAACUUUCAACAACG